GAUUAACGCUGGCGGCAUGCCUAAUGCAUGCAAGUUUUAACGAGUCUCGCAAGAGAUUAGCUGCGAACGGCUGAGUAAUGGAUAGGAAUCUCCCCAAUGGUGUGGAAUACCUCAUCGAAAGAUGAGCUAAUACCACAUGACCUCGCAAGAGAAAAGCGCUUAACUGCGCGCCGAUGGAUGAGCCUAUCUCCCAUCAGGCUGUUGGUAGGGUAAUGGCCUACCAAACCUAUGACGGGUACCCGCCCUGAGAGGGGAAACGGGCAGAAUGGGACUGAGACACGGCCCAUACACCUACGGGUGGCAGCAACAGGGAAUCGUACGCAAUGGACGAAAGUCUGACGUCGCAAUGCCGCGUGGAGGAUGAAGGCCUUCGGGUCGUAAACUCCUUUUAUAGUAAUAGAGAUGUUAUUAAGAAUAAGUGACUGCUAACUCUGUGCCAGCAGCAGCGGUAAUACAGAGGUCACAAGCGUUAUCCGGAUUUAUUGGGCGUAAAGCGUUUCGUAGGCGGUUUGAAAAGUUACUUUUCAAAGACCACGGUUUAACCGGGGGAAGGGAGGUAAUACUAGCAGACUUGAAAUAUGGUGGGGCUUCUGGAACUGAUGGUGUAGUAGUGAAAUACGUUGAUAUCAUCAGGAACUCCAAGGGCGAAGGCAGGAAGCUAACCAUUUUUUGACGCUGAGGAACGACAGCUAGGGGAGCGAAAGGGAUUAGAGACCCCUGUAGUCCUAGCCGUAAACUAUGCUCGCUAGGGGUGGGACCGUAAGGAUUCGCCCCGUAAGCUAACGCGUUAAGCGAGCCGCCUGGGGAGUACGGCCGCAAGGCUAAAACUCAAAGGAAUUGACGGGGACCCGCACAACCAGUGGAGCAUGUGGUUUAAUUCGAGACGAAACGAAGAACCUUACCCAGUUUUGACAUACUACCGUACAUGAACCCAGAAAUGGGAUCAAAUCUAAAUUUAUUUGGAUGGUAGAACAGGUGUUGCAUGGCCGUCGUCAGCUCGUGCCGUAGGGUGUUCCCUUCAGUGGGGUAACGAGCGCAACCCUCGCCAUAAGUUAAAUAUUCUUAUGGGACUACUUGAAUUUAUUUCAGGUGGAAGUGAGGACGACGUCAGGUCAGCAUGGCCCUUAUGACUGGGGCUACACACAUGCUACAAUGGAGCCGACAGAGGGUUGCCAAGCCGCAAGGCGGAGCUAACCCCAU
rnacentral:rRNA from 1 species